CUACGGGGGCACCAGUGAGGAAUAUUGCACAAUGGGGGGAACCCUGAUGCAGCAACGCCGCGUGGAGGAUGACGCAUUUCGGUGUGUAAACUCCUUUUAUAUGUCAAGAAAAUGACGGUAGCAUAUGAAUAAGCACCGGCUAACUCCGUGCCAGCAGCCGCGGUAAUACGGAGGGCGCAAGCGUUACUCGGAAUCACUGGGCGUAAAGGACGCGUAGGCGGGUUGAAAAGUCAGGUGUGAAAGCCUACAGCUUAACUGUAGAACUGCACUUGAAACUCUCAAUCUAGAGUAUGGGAGGGGCAGAUGGAAUUAGUGGUGUAGGGGUAAAAUCCGUAGAUAUCACUAGGAAUACCUAAAGCGAAGGCGAUCUGCUGGAACAUUACUGACGCUAAGGCGUGAAAGCGUGGGGAGCAAACAGGAUUAGAUACCCUAGUAGUC
rnacentral:rRNA from 1 species